GCGCAGGUGGCGGAACUGGUAGACGCGCUACCUUGAGGGGGUAGUGGGGCUUAGCCCCGUGGAGGUUCAAGUCCUCUCCUGCGCA
rnacentral:tRNA from 1 species